CAGAACAGAGGUGGGAGAAAAAUGGGUAGCGUAGUAGAUGGGACUCUGAAGACAGAGCCCAGCUUCACCACCUACACCUGAAUUGGCUUUACUUGGUCCUGAUUUUUGACUAGAAAAUUAUCGUAAUCUCUUAAUGAAGGCCAUCAGCCUGUGUGGGGGCCUCUCUGACAUGCACUUCCAACUCCAACUUCUUCACACCUGAUCCCCAUCAUUUUCUGCUAUAGAAGCUGAGGGGCACACGUUUCAUGGAGAAACACAAAACUCUGAGCCUGACCACUUCUGCUUGCAGCCUACUCCUCUCUGGUGGCCAAAGGUCUGGAUGGCCCAGUGAUGUUUCUUAGACUAUGGAUGCUGAGUGCUUGCUGCCUGUGUGUGAAGAUGUAAGCUCUCAGCUACUGAUCCAGUGCCACAACUACCUGCCCGUCUCCACCACACUCCCUGCCAUGAUGAUCAUAGACUAAUUCUCUGAAACUGGGCUUGUGUUAUCAUCUACAGAUGCUCUGCACCAGAUCACCUUGUACUAGGAAAGAUGAUCUGAGAGUGGUAGCACCUUGGUCUACAGAGAAGCAGGCAAUAGUUGGGACACAGACAGUUGCAUUAAGACAUGGCAGCAAUAAUCUAUGAAUGGCUCACAAAAAGGACAGAGCCACAGAUGAACAAAGAGGUGGAAAUGCUGGUAACACCCUGUGAAUACUUACUAUGAAGGGGGCUUUACCUGUAGGGAAGCUUGGCAAUCAAGGCUUCCCCUAAGCAAUAGGGUCAGUCACAAGUGGCCCUAACCCAAGCUGGAUGUAGUGGGGAAAUACCAUAUUCCAUGUUCAGAGUAGCCCUGCCAACAUGAUCUCAGACCCCUCUGAGGAAAUAAGACCAUGACAAUCAAAGAGCUGAUCUGACUCUGGCCUGAACUCCUGGCAUCCAGGAGGUACUAUGGCCAGACCCUAGCACUCCCAAUUUUGAUGGUGGUACCUGAUUGCAAAGACUUGAGUGUUUGAGGCCAAGUGGCAUGGCCCUCAGGGGAGGGCUACCGAUACUACCUUGCCACCUGGGAGAAACCGGUUAAUCCUGUCCCGAGCCUCAUCAGCUGCGUGCUCUACCAGGGCUAGCACAUGCUCCUCUGCAGUGCUGUCUGUCAGGCUGCAGGCAUUCCCUUCAGGCUCAAACAUGCAGCUGUAAGGCAUGAAAACCAAGUGUCAUCAUAGGCACUGCCCGUUGCUUCCCAACAGUAGCUUUUAUGAACCACCCCUUGCAGAGGCCAGCAGGGAAGCACUGGGUAGAUUUUAAUCCUUCCACUUCACAUAACAUUCCUAUGUGUUCUAACCAUGUUCUUAUUCCUGGAGCAAAAAAAUGCAAACAUAGAACCCCUUAUACUUUCCACAUCUCAGAGAAACACUUGUCUUCUUACAGAGGGGAAAAAAAGGUGACAGAAAUUACACAGAUAUUAAAGAAAAUGUGACAAAGUCCCCUCUGUGUGGAGUGUCACAUUUGCAGUAAAGUAGAGCUGCAAGAAGCCCUGGGCUCCCCAAGGAGGAACAGUUCUGAAUCAAAGUGAGAAGUGCUGGCACUGUGGAGCUAGCCUGUCCCCUGCAGACAGUAGAAACAGGUAGGCAGGUUCUUUUCUGCCCUGGCACAAAUGGCUAAGAGAUGUUGCAACAAGAGAAUGGCCCCAUGACCGACAGAGAUGCUCCAUGGAAAUCCAGCCCAGGGAUAAUGGUGUCUCUUAUCAGGGUCCCACAGCACUGGCACUGACACUCAAGCAUGCUCUGUAGCAUUUGGUGGACUUCAGUAUAGAAACUCAGACUUUGAAAUCUGGGAAUUCUGAAAAAGACUCCACAACUAUCCAUUCUAUUUAAAAGCCAUAGAACCCACAGAUGAGGGAAGAAUCUUAGUGACAAGACCAUCUACACCAAGGCCAUUAACUAGAAACUCUGCAAAUCUGAUGCAACCUGAGAGGCCAGGAACACAUGAAGGCAGCAGGUGUCCUAGAGAGGACAAUGGACAGUGCACUACAAAGAGCUGUCUGCUGAGAGGGAACCUGCCUUAGGAAAAUGUGUCCUUCUCUCAACUUCAUGAGAUCCUAGGCCACAGGUUGGUCACUAACCCAGAGAGAAGUAUAUUUCACAAAUAAAACUGAGACCUCCCA